rnacentral:rRNA from 1 species
CAGAGGGGGCAAGCGUUAUUCGGAAUUAUUGGGCGUAAAGGGCGCGUAGGCGGCUUUGCAAGUGACGGGUGAAAUCCCUCGGCUUAACCGAGGAACUGCCUGUCAAACUGCAUGGCUUGAGACCGGGAGAGGUGAGUGGAAUUCCCAGUGUAGCGGUGAAAUGCGUAGAUCUUGGGAGGAACACCAGUGGCGAAGGCGGCUCACUGGACCGGUACUGACGCUGAUGCGCGAAAGCGUGGGUAGCAAACAGGAUUAGAUACCCUGGUAGUCCACGCCGUAAACGAUGAGUGCUUGGUGUGGCGGGUAUCGACCCCUGCUGUGCCGAAGUCAACACAUUAAGCACUCCGCCUGGGGAGUACGGUCGCAAGGCUG